CACAUGGACGGAAAGACCCUGUGCACCUUUACUACAGCCUACUAUUGGGUCUGACUGCAACAUGCGUAGGAUAGGUGGGAGGCGACGAAGCGGGGCUUGCGGGUCCCGCAGAGCCGACGGUGAAAUACCACCCUUGUUGCAGCUGGAUUCUAACCCGGCGGAGUGGAUCCGCGGGGACAGUGGUAGGUGGGUAGUUUGACUGGGGCGGUCGCCUCCUAAAUGGUAACGGAGGCUCGCAAAGGUACCCUCAGCACGGUCGGUAAUCGUGCGUAGAGUGCAAAGGCACAAGGGUGCUUGACUGUGAGGCAGACAUGCCGAACAGGUGCGAAAGCAGGCCUUAGUGAUCCGGCGGUUCCGCGUGGAAGGGCCGUCGCUCAAAGGAUAAAAGGUACGCCAGGGAUAACAGGCUGAUCUUGCCCAAGAGUCCACAUCGACGGCAAGGUUUGGCACCUCGAUGUCGGUUCAUCGCAUCCUGGGGCUGGAGAAGGUCCCAAGGGUUUGGCUGUUCGCCAAUUAAAGCGGUACGUGAACUGGGUUCAGACCGUCGUGAGACAGGUCGGUCCCUAUCCUGUGCGGGCGGAGGAUACUUGCGGGGUCUCGCUCUUAGUACGAGAGGACCGGAGUGACUGGACCGACGGUGUACCUGUUGUCGCGCCAGCGGCAGCGCAGGGUAGCCAUGUCCAGAAAGGAUAAGCGCUGAAAGCAUCUCAAGCGCGAAACCUGCCCCAAGAUGAGGUAUCCCAUGGCACAAGCCAGUAAGGACCCAGGAAGAUUACCUGGUUGAUAGGCGCCACGUGUACGCACGGCGACGUGCUCAGCGGAGGCGUACUAAUCGUCCGAGGGCUUACCAC
rnacentral:rRNA from 1 species